UUUUUUUGGUCCAAACAGGAUUGCAGCUACAUGUGCAUUAUCAUCAAGCUAAAAAUUCUACAAACUGAAACAUUGAUGCUUGUAAUUGUAGUUCUUUAUCCAUCACUUUUCAGUGUUAAAAUGUAGCAGCAACAGCAAAUUCAACAAAAAACAAACCUGAAUCGCAAAAAUUUUUAAUACAAGUAUUCAAGACCCAUGUAC
rnacentral:misc_RNA from 1 species